UACAGAGGUCCCAAGCGUUGUUCGGAUUCAUUGGGCGUAAAGGGUGUGUAGGUGGCGCCGUAAGUCGGGUGUGAAAUCUCGGGGCUUAACUCCGAAACUGCAUUCGAUACUGCGGUGCUUGAGGACUGGAGAGGAGACUGGAAUUCAUGGUGUAGCAGUGAAAUGCGUAGAGAUCGUAAGGAAGACCAGUGGCGAAGGCGGGUCUCUGGACAGUUCCUGACGCUGAGGCGCGAAAGCUAGGGGAGCAAACAGG
rnacentral:rRNA from 1 species